rnacentral:rRNA from 1 species
GAUCCUGGCUCAGGAUGAACGCCAGCUACAGGCUUAACACAUGCAAGUCGAGGGGAAACGACAUCGAAAGCUUGCUUUUGAUGGGCGUCGACCGGCGCACGGGUGAGUAACGCGUAGGUAACCUGCCUGGUAGCGGGGGAUAACUAUUGGAAACGAUAGCUAAUACCGCAUAACAGUAGAUAUUGCAUGAUAUCUACUUGAAAGGUGCAAAUGCACCACUACCAGAUGG